rnacentral:rRNA from 1 species
GCCUCGUUUAUACCACGUUGAAUACACCGGUUCACGUCCGAUCACCGAAGUUAAGCAACGUCGGGUGCGGUCAGUACUUGGAUGGGUGACCUGGGAACACCGCGUGACGUUGGCU